UACGUAGGGGGCGAGCGUUGUUCGGAUUUAUUGGGCGUAAAGAGCUCGUAGGCGGUUCGAUAAGUCGGACGUGAAAUCUCCACGCUCAACGUGGAGGGGCCGUUCGAUACUGUCGUGACUCGAGUCCGGUAGGGGAGUGUGGAAUUCCCGGUGUAGCGGUGAAAUGCGCAGAGAUCGGGAGGAACACCCGUAGCGAAGGCGGCACUCUGGGCCGGUACUGACGCUGAGGAGCGAAAGCGUGGGGAGCAAACAGG
rnacentral:rRNA from 1 species